UACGUAGGGUGCGAGCGUUGUCCGGAAUUAUUGGGCGUAAAGAGCUUGUAGGCGGUUUGUCGCGUCUGCCGUGAAAAUUCGAGGCUCAACCUCGAACUUGCGGUGGGUACGGGCAGACUAGAGUGUGGUAGGGGGAGACUGGAAUUCCUGGUGUAGCGGUGGAAUGCGCAGAUAUCAGGAGGAACACCGGUGGCGAAGGCGGUCUCUGGGCCUGAUUGACUUGACGCUGGAGGAGCGA
rnacentral:rRNA from 1 species